AUACGGAGGAUGCAAGCGUUGUCCGGAUUUAUUGGGUUUAAAGGGUGCGUAGGCGGCCCGUUAAGUCAGUGGUGAAAGGUAUCAGCUUAACUGAUGAAGUGCCAUUGAAACUGAAGGGCUUGAGUACAGACGAGGUAGGCGGAAUUUAUGGUGUAGCGGUGAAAUGCAUAGAUACCAUAAAGAACACCGAUAGCGAAGACAGCUUACUAGACUGAGACUGACGCUGAGGCACGAAAGCGUGGGGAGCAAACAGGAUUAGAUACCCCGGUAGUCC
rnacentral:rRNA from 1 species